rnacentral:lncRNA from 1 species
GAUGGACGAUAUAUAUUUUAUGUAGUAAAGAAUGGAGACUGGCAGUUGACUUUGCUGAAGAAAAGUCUCUUCCAAUGGAUUGUCAAUUUCUCCUCAACAAGUGCUUUGUCUAAUACAUUACACCAAGUUUGAGAAAAACAAGAUCCAGGUAAUUAAGUUAUAUUUUUGCAUAUACUAUAUGAUAUUUAUUAUCUUCUUAUACGAGCUAGCCAAUUAGUAGAAUGUGUACAUACUAGCUUCCUUUAUGAUUUUGAGCAAAUAUUAUGUGUUUGAUAUUCAUAAAAUUCUUGUUUUUUUUGUAUAUAUUUAAAUAAGAAAGAAUGAGAACAAGAACAUACAUUUUUUGUAUCCCUACAACACAAAUGAGACACCCAAAAACUUGACAAAAUGAGUUAACAUAAAUUAACUAGCCCCUACAGACUAAAAUUAGGGCAACCUAGUGACCUAAUCAUCCUGCAUUGACUAGGUCCCGGAAGGACCGACACUCUUUUGGUGUGUGAGGUGUGCAGCCUACCUUGAUGCAAAGCAUCAGGGGCUGAUUCCAAAACGGCUUGAACCCGUAACUUAUUGGUUACACGGAGACAAUUUUAUUGUUGCUCUCCAGGUGUAUCUAAGAAAUCAGUAGAAACUAUGUACUAAAAAUCGAAGCUACUGCAACAUAUGACAAAAUCCAUCAAAGUAUUAUCUCUAUGCUUGGUUGGCUUCACACGACGUGUGAUAUUUUUUAUUAUCCAGCCCUGCGAAAGAACAAUAAUUAGAACUUGAAUCCAAAAUUUUAGAAAGAAAGGGGAAAGACUUUUGUUUGAACUUAGUGUAAUGAGGUAGAGCGUGGAUAAAUUUGUGUAGUACCUUAAGUUCCACUAGUGGAUCUUGGAGAAUCCAAGGAAGCAAGGGUGGAAUUUGGUGUACUUGUUAGUCCACUGUCACAGCAGUUGAUUCUAGCAAACCAAUUCUGUAACCAGUUUCUGGCUGGAUGAAGAACUCCACAGUCACAAUAUUUGCUUAUCUUUAUGUAUUGUGAUGCCCAUUUUACUAUCACAUCAAUCAACCAUGUGACAACACCAAUUAACAUGGAUUCAAUCCAUUGCUUCCAAUUCAGUCGAGCCGUGUUGCUAAAGACAACCUCUACUUCAAUGAAUCCGAACUGCAACACAAGAUAGAGCCCAGACAAUGCCCAAAACAAGUAAUUUUGACCAAGACCUUUGAAAAAAUUCUUCUGCUCUAAAUCCCUUGCACUGAAUAUGUUAAAAAGCAGGCACAGAGCGAACCCGUUAAAGACUAUAGAUCUGUUAAUUUUUGAAGUGACGCCGAGUAUUGCACUUCCUCUGUGUUGAAGGAAUACAAAAAUGCCAGUCUGAUAGGAAGCUUGAAGAAGUAUGUUUCUCCACAUAGCGUUGGUAAUUGGUGGUUUUCUUGAUAUGAUAAAAUGCUCAUCCCUUAGUUGUCUUGUGGCCUGUUGAGUAAUUAGCAAAGCUGGCCCUCCAAUAAAUUUUACAAGAAGGUUAACCCAUACCAACUGAACGACUGUUAAUGGACCAUCUCCGUCCAAUAUAACCAGUAUGAAGUUUAUUAAUAAGCUACUGAUUGCCAAGAUUACCUCAACUUGGAUGAAUUGCCUCAUAUUCUCACAAACAAUUCUUCCUCCUUUGAUGCUGUUAAUCACAUAAGUUAUAGUUUCAGGCCAGUUAGUCACCACAGGCAGGCUAAAAUGAGCUGCUUCAAGAACCACAUUACUUUCAGAUGCUUGUUCUCCUACCACAGCCACCACUUCUCCUCUUUUCUUCAACUGCUCUAUUAAAAGAAGCAUGCAUGUGGGAGAGGAAUUUCCCAUAAUGCAAGUUUUAUCAACGAUUUCCUUUGUAGCAUCUUCGCCCCUAACUACUAGAGCUUCACGUGAGUUGAGCAAUCCUGUUUCAUCAACAAUGGUACAAAGCACUUCAACAUCUUCUUCCGAGGCAAAUAUCAUCUUCACUCCGCCUUCUUUCAGAUUAUCAAUUCCUUGCCUCAUGUUGUCUAGAUUGAAAGCAUCUUCUAAGACAAACCUACCAAUGAAUGUUAGUCCAUUUUCAUCAAGUUCUGCAACGCCAUGAGUGUGUUUGAAGGCAAAUGCAACUACCUUCAUGUUGUUGUUGUUAGCUUGAGCAAUGCCACUCUUUGUUCCGUCAUCCAAAUCAUGCAAUUCACCGGUCGUGUCAUAGUAACUUGAACACAUUGACAAUAUUGAAUCAGUAGGGCCCUUGAAAUAUGAAUAGUACUCUUUCCCAUUGUCUCCACUUUUCUCCAUGACAACUCUACAAGGUCCUUCAAAAGGAUUCAUCUCAUCAUCGUUGUCCUUCACUUUGGUGAACUGCUGAUUGGAAGAGUCUCUCUGCAUACCGCAGUUCUUCUCUACCCAACAGAGUAUUGCUUGUUCUACUCUGUGGUAGGCUGUUUGAGAAGUCAGAGGGGACACACCAAUUCCAGCAGAGAGAACAUUGUAGACAUGCGGGGGAAUCUUGGCAACAUCUUUUUUGUCAAGAAGAAACUGAGUAACUUUCAGUUUUUGCUCUUUCAACCAGCAAACUUUUUCUAUACAGAUGGUGUUGACUGGUUCCAUCUUAACAUCAAAAAUUGGAUACCAGUAUGCCCUUGCUAUUGAAAUAAGAAAUGGAACUCCUUCAGUUAUCCCCACCAGUGAGAUACCAAGAGAAGUUAUCAUAACUCUCACUGUUCCCUUUGAUUCUGUCAAAACCUUCUUCACGGCAUUCAUUAUCCGUGCAAUUUCAGUUGGUUCUUCCUUGAUUUCCAAUCUAUAUCCGUUAUCAUCAUCUUUAUGCCCCAAUUUAAAGCGAAUGAACAGCACCACACUGAUCAAAAUGCCAAUCGACAGCCCACUAAUAUGUAUGUAAUUGUUCAACUUGUCAAAGUCGGCACAGAAACUGGAGUCCGUUUCAGCAAUAAACGGCUGGUCCUUCCUUGCUCUGUUCUCAUUUUGCUUCUUCCAAAUGUGUCUUUUGUACCAAUUACGUGCUAGCUUAAACAAAACAAUCACAAAUAUAAUCACAACCAGAAGUGCUCCUUCAAACCAACCAUUCUGCACACCUUCUUCUUUGAUUCCAAAGACAAACGACAAUAUUGCUGCAACUGCAAGGAGCAAAAUAGUUGGUUCCUUGCAUACUAACUUUCGGAUCAUGAAUUUGCCAUAUCCGGCGAAGAUCAGCAUGUGAUGAGACAAGUCGCACCUAGAAAUGUCUCCAACUUGAAUUCCCUUGUCAACAGUACUCCCCUUCACUCCUUCAAAAUUGUGAAGUGAAUCCAACUUCACAAUCUCUUCACUAAUUUGUAAGCAUUGCUGAUGAGUACUCUGAAGCUCAAUCUCGCAGUGAUCAUGGUUUGAUUGUCCAACAUUAACAUGAGCUGAAGCUUCCACAAUUUCAACAAUCUGGAUUUCAUCUCCACCACCUUCAGAGUUCUGAGUAGACACAAAGCAUAUAUAAUCCCUCUAAUUAAUUUUAUCAACAUAACUAAAACUGUAUACAUAGAUAUUCUAUAUUGGUAGAAUUUAUUAGGAAAUAUAAUGCAUGCAUCUAGGUGUAUGUAUUAGUGGUACCUUGUUUGAUACACUUUUUCUUACUAUGUAUAACUAAUGUUAUACACUCUAUUUUAUAUUACAUAUACCAAGUAAUUUUAGAUAUUAAUUAUAUAUAGCAUUUAAAUACUUGCAUUAGAUUAAAUAAUUACAAAAUUAAACUACCUUCAAAGCUUUUUAAAACAUUUCCUAACUUCUUCUCUUCUUUUCAUUUUCUUUCUUGUCAUGUGUUUUAUUUUUGUUGUUGCUUAUUUUUCAAUGUCUUUUAAUUUGUUAGUGUCUUGAUAGAUUUUAUGGGAGUUUUUGGUUAAAAUUAUAUAUGUCAACAAUGAUUUAAAUCUAAUGUACAUCCUUAUAUUAUCUAAGUGAGCAAAAAAUAUUCUUAUACUAUCUAAAAAAUAACAAGAAUCAUUCUUCAGCCUAUUUUUGUCAAAACAUUGUUGAACCAAUAAAAAAAAUUUUGUUUAACUUGAUCACGUCUGUGUCACGACGAAAAGAUCAAAGUUAUGUAAUAAAAAUAAGGAUAUGGAUAGAAAAUGAAUCUUGAAUUUAAUUAAAUUUCGUGUGUUGUUAGUUUAUAGAGUAUGUAAUUUUGCAUCAUCUAGUAAACUGACUUGCACCAAUACAUAAGUUUUGAAAUAUUUAUACAGUACGUCCGAAGGUUAGAAAGAUUAUGUAAAAAAGUCAUUUCAAAUAUAUUACUUCCAACUAUUUAGAGAUUUUCUUUAGUAAAAUAUUGAGGGGUGUAUACUAUAUAUACAAUGUUCACAUUUUAUACAAUUUACAAAAAUGCUGGAAAUUUAGUGAAAUUACAUAGGUAUUUAGUUAUUAAAAACAAAAAAUAAUUAUUUUAUUUGAAAUUUUUGAAAUUGGAGUAGUAUUUUUUUCCCAAAGAAUAUUUAGAAUUUGAAUAUAUUUUGUCUGAAUAUAAUUUAACCCUCAAUUUCAAAAAAUAAAAAAAAGUCACCUAACUUGAUUAGUUUAACCAUGUGUACAUAUAUUCAUUCGACUUGACACAUUUUUUUUGGGGCGUGAGUUCUUAAAAAAAUAGAUAAAAGGAUGAAUGUUGCAACUUCUUGAAUAGUUCAGGGAUUUUUUUGUUCACUUAUAUAACACAAGUAUGUAAUUUAAGUUUUAGUCAUACUUCAAAGAUUAUAUUAGCCAAAAAUUUGAUUUUAUGGCCUCUUAAGUAGUAUCUUUUUUUUAAAAAAAAAAUUAAUUUUCAACAUAAUUUAAUCAAAAAAUUUACUUGUGGUGAUAGAUUUGACAAAAAAAAUUAUUUGCCAACUUUUCACAAAAUUAUUUUGAUUCAAAAUAGUAUAACUAUUUAAUAUUAUUUUUAAAAGUAAGAAGAAAAAGAGGAGUUAAAUGUUAAUGAUGUUUUAGCAAAGAACUUUGUUGCAAGUAAUUGCAAAAAUAAAUAAAGUAUGAAGAAUAUUUUUGUAAACACAUAUUUUUAAAUAUAAAUUAUGCAAUAUUUUGUUAUUUCUAGUACAUCAAACUAAACAACGUAUAAGAACAGUGUUUGCAUAACUAACGCAAGCAUUACUAAGAUACCUUAUUUUGUACUAUUCUUAUACAUUUUACCAAACGACUCUGAGUGAGAAGUGCGAAAAUUAGGUCUUAGACUUUACUUACACCCUAAAGCUAAUCUCAUUAACCGUCAAUAUGAGACUUGUGUCAUUAUUUAACUCAAAAGCAUAAAGUAAAGUUUAAAAUACCAUUUUACCCCUAUCAUAAUUAAAAAUGUUAUAAAUAUCUAAUAAGUUAAAUAUAAAGUAAUUAAAAUAUUUUCACAACAUUUUCACCUCCUAAAUUAUUUUUAAGCGAAAGAGUUAUAAAGUGACCAUAUUUAUCUAUAAAUUACAAGUGACACUAAUUGAUUAUGAUAUUAUGGAUAAAGACUAUGCCAUAAAUGUAACUCUGAUAAGUUGUAACCACUUUGAACAAAAUCGAUCAUUUAUCGCUAAACAUAUAUUUUUAGCAGCGAUUAUCACUUUUUUUUAUAUGUUUUUAAAGUCUUUAGCGACAUUGAUUCUAAUAGCACUUAACAAAUGCCGAUAAAAAAUUUAACACUUAUUAUUAAUGUCAAUAUUUAAUACUACUAAAAAUUAUUUUUGUUAUAGUAAACAAUAUAAAAACUUAGAGGGACAAAUCAAUGAUAUAGUUGGAAUAGGAAAAAGAUAAUGUUCUAAAUACUCGAUGUUAAGAAAUAUGUAAGUGUUUGGAAAGCUAUCAGCCUAGUAAAUUACACAACCUAAUAAUUAUGUGGACUUGUUUGUUUGUCACAGUGUAAUUACAAGUUGGGGUGUGCACUGUUUUGGGUUAAAUCAAAAAAUCAAACCAAAUAUUUAUUUUGUUUAAUUUUUUGGUUUAGUUUCAGAUUUUAGAAAAAUGAAAAUCGAAAAAUUGAACACACACAUAUAUAUAGAGAGAGAAUUAAGUUGGAGUUAACCACUUUCUUUUUAGUUAUUUUCAUUAUUAUUUAAUUUUUUUUUGUUUCGACAUCUAUAAUUAAUAUACUUUUAAAUAUUGUAUUUUACAUUUUUAAUAUAUAUAUAUAUAUAUAUAUAUAUAUAUAUAUAUAUAUAAAAUUCAUUUUCAAAUUACAAAUAUAACUUCGUUAUGUUCUUAAUUAUUGCUAUAACCGAUCGAACCGAAAAAACUCAAACCAUAAAAGAGAAAAAUCAAACCAAAUUUAUUUUGGUCGGAUUGAGUUACACUUCUUCAAAAUCAAAAAUUAAAAAAUUCAAACCAAAUAAAAUCGAAUGCACAACCCUAAUUACAAGUGUAGUGUUUUAUUGCACAAGUAUAAUCAUAAGGUUAUAUUGAAUUUUAAAAAAUAAAAAAUAAUUAUUUAAAAUUUAAAUUUAUAAAUGAUAUUAAAUUGAAUAAUAUUGCCUUUUGAAAAUAUAUUAAUUAAUAAACCUACGUUCUUUGACUAGUAUUAUUAAAAAUAAUUUAUCUAUAUUUUUCAAUUUAGUAUAUUUUAAUUAUAAAAGUAUGUAGUUGUAAAAGAAAUGAAAUAUUGGAGUAUUAUUUAUGCUUACUCCAUGUUGAAGACUCAAGGUGGCAUGAGUGUUGGAUAUUGAUGAAAGUGAUGAUAUGCUUGCUGCAGCUUCAAUGAAGUUGUAAAUAGAUAGAAAAAUGAACACCAACCUCCUCAUGAUCAUCAAACUAAAAUUACGUAAUUCAUCAUUCAUUGAUAGCGGGAAACUCCGCUGAGCUUCAAUGUCUUCAUGAUCCACCUCCAUCAUCCUACCUAGCUACCUGUAUAUAUAUAUAUAUCUCACCUUUGAUCAGCACUGUCGUCGUACUUCAUGAUCACUACUUCUUUUUUAAGAUGUACCUAAGACGACCAUGAUAUGAUAUGAUUGAAAAGGAUCUAACAAAAGCUACGUAAAAAUAUAGAGUGUGGCUGAGGGGAGGAAAGGGAUUUUCCUAGCAACCUACUAUUCCAACAACGCCAUAAUGAAGUCAAUUUUGAAUUAAUAUUCUAAACCUGAUCCUUCAAACACCAAGACCACAAUAUACAUAGGCAAAAUUUGAACCAGAUCAAACCAGUAAUAUUGUUUUUAUUAUGUAUAUACUCAGUGGCGGAUCUAGGAAUUUAAGGUUGUAGGUGUUUUAAAGUGAAAAUAUAAAAAAAAUAUGCGUGUUAACAGUGAGAUUCGAACCUUGGUACAACAAGGCUAAAAAAAUUUUAAAUACCCAUUCAGGAGCCAUUGGGCCAACUAAAUCAUUUAUUCAUUGGGUGCUCUAUGUUAAUUUUAUACAAAUACCUAUCAAUUUCUACAUAGAUAUAUAUAUUUCGUAGCAAAGUUAAUGGGUGCUCGAGGUCCGCCUCUGUUAAUAUACUCUGUGCGUCGACAUUACUUUAUGAUUAACGAUUGAAUUUUUGCUAAUUUUUUGAGAAAGUGAAAUGCUUUUUAUAAAAUUCAAUUGUAUAUUCUAGUCAAGUUUUUGUUUGAGGUUUGUAUUAUUCAGUUGGUCAAAGAGUUAUGGAACUUAUUUUCUCAUUUCUACUUUCUAAAGCAAUUCUGAAACGUAGCUUCCUAGAAAGUUCUCCUAGGCAAUUAAUUGCUGGUCAAGUGUGUGAGGUUUUUCACUCUCAGCCUUAGCUUUGUGUUACGAAAUGUUAAUAUCAUAAUCCUUAGGCUGGUUGGUUCGUUUUUAUAACGCGGUAUUCACAAUUUUUCAUUUGAUCCCACCAUCACCACUACACCCCACACACACACACAUUUUUGUCCAUUUGACCAUGAAAAAAGUGAGUAUUUAAAAAUAUUCACCCUCCAACUUUGCUUUAAAAAUCAAACUUUUCCUCAAUUUUGAACAAUCACCAAACUCCCCUGUAUUCUAUGCAUUAUUCAUUUAUAUCACAUAUAUAUGUAAUACCUCUUUAUAUUAUAUAUAAUUUAUUUUUUAACCAAAGUAUUUAUAAUUUUUUUCUUUAAGUUCAUUAAUAUUAUAAAUAGAAUAAAUUUAUCACAAAGUUUGAUAUUAUUUUUAUGACCUUUACGUUAUUAAAUUUGACUACUAUUAUUUUAUGACGUUAGUUAAUAUUAAGGGUAGAAAUAAAAAAAAUUGAUUAAAAAUUCUUUUGAUUUCAUUAAGUGGAAUCGAUCAAUUAUUGUUGAGUUACAUGUAAUAAUAGGGUAGACAUGUAUCAAUUGUUCUUGCCCUGAUAUACAUAAAUACAUAGUAAUUAGUAAAUACAAGUAUACAACCAACAUUAACGUGUGAUUGGAGUUGAAAAUUGGGGAUAUAUGGGUGAAGUUUGAACAAUUCUACCUUCAAAUGUAGAUGUUAAUUGUUUCAUUGCAUUUUAGAAAAAUAUAUAUAUAUUUUUUUUAAUGUCCAAGUAUAUUUUGUUGUUUCAACCUUCUAGAUAUUAAUUAUUUCUGUAAAAUAUUUUUGUGAGUCAUCGUGCAUUUUCUACUAAUUUAGCGGAUGAAAAUACAACAAAAAAAGAGGCAGCGCUGGAUUGUCAAUUUCUCCUCAACAAUAGCUCUCUCUAAUACAUUAGAGCAAGUUGAAGAAAAUAUACAUCAAGGUAAUUAAGAUAUAUUUGUGCAUAUUAUAUGAUAUUUAAUUUUUUAUCUUCUUGCACGAGCCAAUUGGUAGAAUGUGCAUGUACUGACUAGCUUCCUUAAUGAUUUUGAGCAAAAUUCCAUGUGUUUGAAAUUCAUAAAAUUCUUGCUUUUUGUAUAUAUUAGUACUAUAUACUAAGUUUGCAUUCUUGAAUUCAGUUAAAAGUGGAAGGAAGAACGAGAGAACAAAGAACAGACCUUUUUUUAAAUCUCCAUCUGUUAGACUCGUAAAUUACUUGAUCUAAUUACGUACAAACAUGUCAAGGACUUGGGCAUUGGUCUUGACAUGAAUGAGGGCAAAACAGUGCAACACAGGUUCAAGGUGUUUGGGUGUUGGCAAGGCAACUUGAACAUGCAAGGCUUAAGUGCGGGCUAGAGUCAUCGGCAAGGCAGCGUGUUGGCUUGACAAGGCAAAACUGUGAAGACUUGACGAUGGUAAGAACAAAGGCAUUCCACGUAAAUUGCUGAAAUAAAACCAAGUGUUGGAGGACAACUAAAAUAUUCUAAGUGUUGGAAGCUGGCUGAAAUAAUCUAAGUGUUGGAAUGUAGCCUGAAAUAUUCUAAGUGUUAAAAUAUUAAUAUUUCGUGUGGAUAAGGAUGUAAUUUAAAUUAGAGUCUAUCUGUUAGAAAUAUAUCUGUUGGAAACUUAGUUUGAAUCUUGUGAUGACAAGUGUCGGACAUGUGUCAUUUGUAACUGCCGCAUGUAACUGCCAUGUGCAGAAAUUUUAAUAAGGGUGGAAAUUUUGUUUAAGGCUUAGAGGAGUGUGUUUUCUGGCCUUAGACAAAUUCGUGAAGCCUUCCCUUUGUAUUAAUUAUCAGAUUAAUAAAGGUUGGACGAGUUCCUUUAAAUUCUGUUUGUUGUUUAACUUUGCUGUUAAAGUAUUUCUGUACUUAGUCAAAUUUGUGGGUGUAAGAUAGGCUGAGUGUUGUUAGGCGUUUGCAAGACUGCUUAGGGUGAUGUUCGAUAAAAAUAAAUCGACCCUCUUACACCAUCCGAUACAUAUGAGAAACCAAAAACUUGACGAAAUGAAUUAAUAUAAAUCAAUAACUAGCCCCUACAAAGUGUCUCUCUGAACACCACCAAAGUAAUCAAAAUGCCAAUCAACAAUCC